rnacentral:rRNA from 1 species
UUAAGCGACUAAGCGUACACGGUGGAUGCCCUGGCAGUCAGAGGCGAUGAAGGGCGUACUAAUCUGCGAUAAGCGCCGGUAAGGUGAUAUGAACCGUUAUAACCGGCGAUACCCGAAUGGGGAAACCCAGUGUGAUUCGUCACACUAUCAUUAACUGAAUCCAUAGGUUAAUGAGGCGAACCGGGGGAACUGAAACAUCUAAGUACCCCGAGGAAAAGAAAUCAACCGAGAUUCCCCCAGUAGCGGCGAGCGAACGGGGAGGAGCCCAGAGCCUGAAUCAGCAUGUGUGUUAGUGGAAGCGUCUGGAAAGGCGCGCGAUACAGGGUGACAGCCCCGUACACAAAAGCGCAUGUGCUGUGAGCUCGAUGAGUAGGGCGGGACACGUGGUAUCCUGUCUGAAUAUGGGGGGACCAUCCUCCAAGGCUAAAUACUCCUGACUGACCGAUAGUGAACCAGUACCGUGAGGGAAAGGCGAAAAGAACCCCGGCGAGGGGAGUGAAAAAGAACCUGAAACCGUGUACGUACAAGCAGUGGGAGCACAGGUUUACCUGUGUGACUGCGUACCUUUUGUAUAAUGGGUCAGCGACUUAUAUUCUGUAGCAAGGUUAACCGAAUAGGGGAGCCGGAGGGAAACCGAGUCUUAAUUGGGCGUUAAGUUGCAGGGUAUAGACCCGAAACCCGGUGAUCUAGCCAUGGGCAGGUUGAAGGUUGGGUAACACUAACUGGAGGACCGAACCGACUAAUGUUGAAAAAUUAGCGGAUGACCUGUGGCUGGGGGUGAAAGGCCAAUCAAACCGGGAGAUAGCUGGUUCUCCCCGAAAGCUAUUUAGGUAGCGCCUCGUGAAUUCAUCUCCGGGGGNGUGACUGCGUACCUUUUGUAUAAUGGGUCAGCGACUUAUAUUCUGUAGCAAGGUUAACCGAAUAGGGGAGCCGGAGGGAAACCGAGUCUUAAUUGGGCGUUAAGUUGCAGGGUAUAGACCCGAAACCCGGUGAUCUAGCCAUGGGCAGGUUGAAGGUUGGGUAACACUAACUGGAGGACCGAACCGACUAAUGUUGAAAAAUUAGCGGAUGACCUGUGGCUGGGGGUGAAAGGCCAAUCAAACCGGGAGAUAGCUGGUUCUCCCCGAAAGCUAUUUAGGUAGCGCCUCGUGAAUUCAUCUCCGGGGGUAGAGCACUGUUUCGGCUAGGGGGCCAUCCCGGCUUACCAACCCGAUGCAAACUGCGAAUACCGGAGAAUGUUAUCACGGGAGACACACGGCGGGUGCUAACGUCCGUCGUGAAGAGGGAAACAACCCAGACCGCCAGCUAAGGUCCCAAAGUCAUGGUUAAGUGGGAAACGAUGUGGGAAGGCCCAGACAGCCAGGAUGUUGGCUUAGAAGCAGCCAUCAUUUAAAGAAAGCGUAAUAGCUCACUGGUCGAGUCGGCCUGCGCGGAAGAUGUAACGGGGCUAAACCAUGCACCGAAGCUGCGGCAGCGACACUGUGUGUUGUUGGGUAGGGGAGCGUUCUGUAAGCCUGCGAAGGUGGCCUGUGAGGGUUGCUGGAGGUAUCAGAAGUGCGAAUGCUGACAUAAGUAACGAUAAAGCGGGUGAAAAGCCCGCUCGCCGGAAGACCAAGGGUUCCUGUCCAACGUUAAUCGGGGCAGGGUGAGUCGACCCCUAAGGCGAGGCCGAAAGGCGUAGUCGAUGGGAAACGGGUUAAUAUUCCCGUACUUGGUGUUACUGCGAAGGGGGGACGGAGAAGGCUAUGUUGGCCGGGCGACGGUUGUCCCGGUUUAAGCGUGUAGGUGUGUGUUCCAGGUAAAUCCGGUUCACUUUAACACUGAGGCGUGACGACGAGGCACUACGGUGCUGAAGCAACAAAUGCCCUGCUUCCAGGAAAAGCCUCUAAGCAUCAGGUAACAUCAAAUCGUACCCCAAACCGACACAGGUGGUCAGGUAGAGAAUACCAAGGCGCUUGAGAGAACUCGGGUGAAGGAACUAGGCAAAAUGGUGCCGUAACUUCGGGAGAAGGCACGCUGACACGUAGGUGAAGUGAUUUACUCAUGGAGCUGAAGUCAGUCGAAGAUACCAGCUGGCUGCAACUGUUUAUUAAAAACACAGCACUGUGCAAACACGAAAGUGGACGUAUACGGUGUGACGCCUGCCCGGUGCCGGAAGGUUAAUUGAUGGGGUCAGCGCAAGCGAAGCUCCUGAUCGAAGCCCCGGUAAACGGCGGCCGUAACUAUAACGGUCCUAAGGUAGCGAAAUUCCUUGUCGGGUAAGUUCCGACCUGCACGAAUGGCGUAAUGAUGGCCAGGCUGUCUCCACCCGAGACUCAGUGAAAUUGAACUCGCUGUGAAGAUGCAGUGUACCCGCGGCAAGACGGAAAGACCCCGUGAACCUUUACUAUAGCUUGACACUGAACAUUGAGCCUUGAUGUGUAGGAUAGGUGGGAGGCUUUGAAGUGUGGACGCCAGUCUGCAUGGAGCCGACCUUGAAAUACCACCCUUUAAUGUUUGAUGUUCUAACGUGGACCCGUUACCCGGGUUGCGGACAGUGUCUGGUGGGUAGUUUGACUGGGGCGGUCUCCUCCUAAAGAGUAACGGAGGAGCACGAAGGUUGGCUAAUCCUGGUCGGACAUCAGGAGGUUAGUGCAAUGGCAUAAGCCAGCUUGACUGCGAGCGUGACGGCGCGAGCAGGUGCGAAAGCAGGUCAUAGUGAUCCGGUGGUUCUGAAUGGAAGGGCCAUCGCUCAACGGAUAAAAGGUACUCCGGGGAUAACAGGCUGAUACCGCCCAAGAGUUCAUAUCGACGGCGGUGUUUGGCACCUCGAUGUCGGCUCAUCACAUCCUGGGGCUGAAGUAGGUCCCAAGGGUAUGGCUGUUCGCCAUUUAAAGUGGUACGCGAGCUGGGUUUAGAACGUCGUGAGACAGUUCGGUCCCUAUCUGCCGUGGGCGCUGGAGAACUGAGGGGGGCUGCUCCUAGUACGAGAGGACCGGAGUGGACGCAUCACUGGUGUUCGGGUUGUCAUGCCAAUGGCACUGCCCGGUAGCUAAAUGCGGAAGAGAUAAGUGCUGAAAGCAUCUAAGCACGAAACUUGCCCCGAGAUGAGUUCUCCCUGAGACUUAGAGUCUCCUGAAGGAACGUUGAAGACGACGACGUUGAUAGGCCGGGUGUGUAAGCGCAGCGAUGCGUUGAGCUAACCGGUACUAAUGAACCGUGAGGCUUAACCUU